UCACUGAAGUUGAACAGGUGUGCGCAAUCAACCCAGGGGACGCAUGUAUCGCUGCAGUGUGGGCAGUAUCAGAGGGAAAUAGAUAGGAUGAGAUCUGCCCACAGUACAGUAGGUGGCGGUAAUGCACUAUAACUUUGGAGGCCAAACGCCGAUAAACACCACCGAAGAAGAAGACGAAUCAAAACCCAGAAGGGAAAUGUAAGGGACCUUUGAAGAAGGCCCCAGCAUUCCCGAAAUCUUACACUUGACUGGCUUCUUGGAACAGAGCAGCUUUAAAGAGCCAUGGUGGCCUAAAGAGACCGAACAAGCCCAUAGAAGGACGAUACCUAAUUAGCAGGGUUGAAUGGCCACGGUGACACUGUGAAUACAACUGUUUAACUGAAUACAUCAUCACCAUUCUGAGUGCUGCCCUCUCCCCAGACAGAGAGACAAUAGCACAUUGUUUAACAAACUAGCACUUAUUAUGCUAUUGUUGUCUGUGUUCCAGACCAUGUCAUCACUAUUGUCUGUGUUCUAAUCCCGUCAUCACUAUUGUUGUCUGUAUUCCAAAUCCUGUCAUCACUAUUGCUGGUCUUUGGUGAAAAUAAAUCUGUGUAAAAGAUG